UACGGAGGGUGCAAGCGUUGUUCGGAAUUACUGGGCGUAAAGCACGCGUAGGCGGCUUGGUAAGUUGGGAGUGAAAUCCCGGGGCUCAACCCGGAACUGCUUUCAAAACUAUCAAGCUAGAGUAUGGCAGGGGACAGUGGAAUUCCUAGUGUAGAAGGUGAAAUUCGUAGAUAUUAGGAGGAACACCAGUGGCGAAAGCGACUGUCUGGACCAUUACUGACGCUGAGGCGUGAAAGCGUGGGGAGCAAACAGGAUUAGAUACCCCUCGUAGU
rnacentral:rRNA from 1 species